UGUUGUUUUUCAAGAUUCUCAGGACCAAUUUUUCAAUACGUAAAAAAUAAAUUUUCUUUCCUUUCGAUCGAAUAAUGGAAAGAUAUUUUUUUAAAAAUGAUUUCGUUACAAAAAAUCUAUUCCUUUCCUUACUCAUCAUGGGGAUGCUGUGUGUUUUUUAAAGUUCUUUUGUGUUCUUAGGACCAAUUUUUCAAUACGUAAAUAAAUUUUCUUUCGAUCGAAUAAUGAAAAGCUAUUUCGUUACAGAAAGUCUAUUCCUUUUCUUAUUCACUAUAUGGGAUGCUGCGUAUCUUUCAAGAUUCUCAGGACCAAUUCUUCAAUACGUAGAAAAUAAAUUUGGAUGCCCUUUUUGGAUUAAAGAAACACCCUUUCCCCUAAAUAACGAAAUUACACAAACGUCUAUUUGAUUUCGAAAAAAAAGGGACGAAGAAACGAACGUAACUCGAGAAGAAAACGUAACCGGAAAGUUAAUAAUUCCAUUUGAAAUUUCUCGACAAAGUAUCGCGAUGAUAUGAUCCACCCCUUUAAUACAUCUUUCAUUUUUUUCCUGUUUUUCCCUAGGAUGGAGAGCAAUGGAUGAAGACUUGCUUCUCGCCAACUUGUAAGGUGUUUCGUGUCGCGUCGAAUGAAUAAUUUAUGUUCGCCUACGGUGAGGGGCUGUCGAAAGUGUUAAGUAGCAGGUGUCGCGGUCUGAAUUUCGUGUUUACACUUUGCUGGUCGACCGAGUUUCCAGUUUUAUUUUUAGCGAAUCGCUCCCUCCUCCUUUAAUAAAACGCGAUCGAUUAAAUCAAAAAGAGGAAAGAAAAGAAAGUUAAAAUUGCUAUUAUUUAUUCCACGAUAGAUAGAAAUGGAAGAAACGUGUUGAAGGGGGGCGAGUAAAGGGAAGGAAAUUGAUGGAUAAUUGCGCCGUAACGCAGAGAAAGAAAUUGAGGAUGGCGCGGGGGAUGAUUUAUCUAAUUCUGUCGGCUUGAAUUACUCGCAAACGAAAGAAUGCUGUUCGAACGGAAAACAGAAAUUUUACGAUUAAAAUUGGAACGGAUAUGAAAGGUGUGUAUCUUUUUCUCAAUUGUACUCUUUUCUUUUCUUCUUUCAAAAAAAUAAUCGUCUAAACGAAUAUGGAAAUCGAAAGGAGGAGAAUAUAAAUAACGAUAUUUGUUAACUUAAUUUAAUAACUCUUGUUUCCGGGAAACAAUGUUGAAGGCGGAAUAUAAAUUGUUCAUCUGGGACAAGAAGCAACACCUUACCCUCCCUCCCCUCGUAACUGGGAAUCUUCCAUCAUUUAAGGCGUAACACGAGGCGGCAGGCUUGAACUUGAUGCUAACUAAUAUAAUAAAUUACAAUAAACUUUCCCCGUUAAUAAAAUUCACUCACGUGUGAACACGGGGAGCGUAAUGCGCGUUGCCGAGGAGAAAACUAAUCUUCAACUUCGAUUAUUAUCGCGAGUUCGUUCAAAGAGCGCCAAAAAUCGAUGAAAUAUCGCGCGAGAAAAAAAUGGCGAAACGUUGGGUAACUCGAUGUAAAAUAAUUAACAAAUAAUAAUAAUCUUAACGUCAAAAGAUUAUUCAACUUUAUCCAAAACUUUUAACUUAAUUUUUUUGAUUUACUCGAUAAAAAUUAUUUCAUAGAUUAAUGUAAUCCUCCUUCCACAUCAUCCGUUUCACAAUUCGAGAGAGAAGAGGAUCCAAUCACUCCAUUUCCCCAAAAACGACGCUCCACUUUCGAGGAUUUCGCAACGUUGCGUGGCAAAAAUUUCCUUAGAAAGACAGGAAGAAGGGAAACGGGGAGGGGUUGGAGUUACGCCAGCCCUGUACAACCGACCCUUUCCGUUUUUGGGUCAGACGUGUUGUUCCAAGUUUCGAGCGACGAAAAAAGGUAGCAGUACGAGUUACGUUGCCAAUAUAUAUAUAUAUAUAUAUCUGCUCGACCGUGUGUUUAUCACGCAUAAAUUAAAAGGCAAGAGGAAGGAAAUUUUUAAACCCGAUUUUUAGAAAUUGUAAAAAUCCUUGAGGGAAGCGAGAGGGGAAGUGGGACGUAAAAAUUUGGCGGCGAGCCAUCCAGCUUUCUUUCGCUUCACCGGGUCAGGAUUUCGUUACAGAAUGCGUCCACGAGACGUGAACAAUGUCCCUGGCGCAAAAAGAUGUAACUCUGAAUUUUUCGAAACGGUUCGAUUAUAUAUAUAACAAUUUUAUUACAAACAUUUUCGAGUUUGGAAUUUGUUCGAGAAGAAUUUCUCUUUCUGAAAACGAUAUUAAUUAAUUAUCGUUGAUCUAUAAAGAUUUCACGAUUCCCUGGAGGAAAUCGAAGACGAUUUCUUUGAUUCGAUGUCGGUCACGAGAGGGGAUCGAGUUUGAAAAACACAAGGUUUAUAUAGAAAGUCAGUGGCUCGGAAUAAUGCACGACUCUGGAGAAUUUUUUUUAUCUCUUUCUCUUGCAGGAGGAGAAGAGUAAUUCCUUUGGUUCGUUCGAAAAUCGAUUAGGGAGGAAUAAAGCUACAAAUUCAAUUUCUCUCUAUUUCGCGCGAAACGCGAGAUAAACGGGAGUGGUAUCCCGUGCAACGGACAGUAUUCGAGGCCCAGCUGCGAUCAAGGGUCUCAUAAUCUAAGAGCAUCGUUGAAAAAUAAGCGGGCAACAACACGUGUCCGCCCCAUCAAGCGGAAACCCGGCAAGCAGGGCGGCGUUCGAUGGGCCGUAAACUGGUUUUUCCUCGAGGCAAACUGCGGUUAUCUUUACUAAAUUUACCGGUCUGCCAUUGGCGUGACAAAGUGGGCAGCGCCCCCACCCACGACGCUCGCGCCGCAGCACGCGAGAACAGGUACUCGGUCAACAGUUUUCGAAGAUCGUUUGGAGGAGCAGCGCAUGCGACUCGUGGUCGCCCAUCGAGGUCGCCAUUUCGAAGUUUAUAGACGUUUGUGGCUGGCAGGCAUUUGCCUGCCCUCCCGCUUUUUAACAAAUUUUAAUAGAGAGAUGAAAAUAUAUCCUUUCUCUUCGAGCUCUGAUCUCCGUUAUUGGAUCUUCGUUCCAUUUCGUUCGUGAUCGAAGCUACGAUGUUACAUCGAUUUGUAUCAGGAGAUAGUUAUUUAUUUUUUUUCAUGAAAGUUUCGUGAAAGAUUGGGUAGUAUAUUGAUUAUAAAGUAUAUUGUAUGUGUACAAGAGUAAGAGAUACUAAUGUUCUUUUGACCGAACAUUGGAAAUAUUUUGAUAUUUUAUCGUAAAUGUUUAAUGCAAGACUCAGUGAAGUUGAUCAUGAAAUAUUUAUACCGAGUCGAGAUGACUCGGUGGUUCAACGGGUCUUUCUUUGCUUAUCGCGAAUCUAAAUAAAUAUAAAAUUGUCCGAAUAAAAUUUGACUUGAAUUAUUAAACGAAUUCGAGAUGAUGUGUGACAAUGGAAUCGAAAAUUGUAAAGAAUCGGGAGAAUAGAACGUGAGUUUGAAAAAGAGAAGAGACUGGAAGAAUUGAAAUUUUUAAACAAGAUUCCCCCAAUUGCCGCAGUUUUAAUUACAAACGAUUUGUUGAUCUUGUUUCGCUUGAGAAAUUUCAUCGAGGAAUAAUUUCCAUUGUCUGUGCAAUAUUCGUCAAGAUGAUCAUCCGUGUAACGUAACUACAAGCUAUUAGCCUCAACGAGGUUAAUUAAACCAUCGAUCAAAUUAUCUCAAGUUUAUCAGUGCAGUGCGAACUCGAUUACAUAUUCAAAUUUACAACCGUAACAAUUCAAGGAUGACGAUAUUGCGAUAUGAUAGAAAUGCAACGAUGCUUCUCACCGUGAAGAUUAAUUAAGCCGUUUAUUAAUUUAUUCCAAGUGUCAUUAUUCGUCGAUUAAUCGUUACUGCAAUUACUUUUAGUUCUAUUUAACACGCGUGAAGCACUCGUCGAAUACUUUCCUCUUUGUUUAAUUAACAGAUAAUUAUCUGGAUCCACGCAUUCUCUGAACGAAAUUUAUUUUAAUUCAGACGAAGAAGAAUACACAUAACUUCACGACACUCGUUACAAUGUUAAUAAGAAUUUCAUCAUCAUAGUGUAUAAGGUUAUAAAUGACUUUCCAAAAUUUUCUUAACCUCUAACAUCAUACACCGAACAUGAACAAUGGAUUUUACGCAACAAAACAGAUUCGUAUCCUGAUAUCAUUUUUACCAACAACAAUAAAAGAGAUCGUUCCAACAUCGAAAUAGAAAGAAUAGAUUAAUCGUCUUCUAAUUUCAGUGAAGCACAUUCGACUGGAGGAAAUCGGUAGCCUAGAUUCUCCAACCAUAGCAGAAGAACGUACACUUGAUCUUGUCGCCACAUUGCAUCGAGGCUUAUCUCUCGUAGGGCUGUUCAUCAUCCGACAGUUGGCAGCACUGAACGGUAAACGUCGAGAGCGCCGCCACCGGCAAUUAUCUUCGAUUUUAUCGUGGCGAUUGUUGGGCUCGAAUCGCAGCAGGAUUCAUUAGGGCGAUAAACGAUCACCUGCGAGCCAGAAAAGAAGAAGUAUACGAUAUUAAUAAGAAAGUUGUUUUCGCUGCAUCGUUUUUCCUGGGUACGUAGAUGUCACUAGUUGUUGGAUUAGUCAGAAAAGUGCAAAAUUUCAACGGUUGAAGUUAAGAAUAAAAUUAUCGUUCAAAGCAUCGAAUAAUUAUAUAAAAUUAUAUACGAUGAAUGAAUAAUUAUGUCGAAUAAUUUAAAGUAACUUUAUUCAAAAAAACUAGUUACUUUUUCGACGAAUUAGCGUUUUGUGAUUAAUCAAAGAAUUGAAGUGUUUUUUCGUGUCUUAUUCUUAUUCCAUCGAAGAUUCGCUUGUCCGAUUAAUAAUUAAUAACGGAUUAACAACGAAUGCUUCUUUCACAAGAAAAUAUCUAAAACGAAACGGUCGUAGGAAAGAUCAAGCUGGCGUCUUAAUAGCUCGGAUAUCCAGUAAUUGUCCGGCUAUAAAACGGGUUCCAGAAGUAGACUCGUGCGAGUACCUCGAGCCGAGAAAGUCGUGUGAAGGACCAGACCAUAAUCCGGAAGUGACGUGACAAGAAAGUGAGGGAACCAGCGGCGACACUUUACCACUAAUUACUGGCCCACGCGUCCCGUCGUAGCCGUGUAAUUUCCUCGCACGGGCAUCCUUUAUCGCGUCUAAUGAAGCCCGGUACCAAUUUCACUCGGACAAUUGCCCGAUAAAAUCGAACACGAGCUGACCAACCAAACUUAAUUGCAACGCUAACAAUCCAACGCUUUUUUUAAUUCCACAACGUUCACAAAUUCCUUUAACGCCCGGCUAAAAGCAAAACGAAUUUAUCUAUGCAAACAAUACCGAAGCAAGUUCGAAUCAAUUCCAAUAUAUUUAUCUUGAUUUAUGAUCCCGAUCUACGUGUAUAUUUCAUACUGACUAUAUAAUUUACGCAAUAUACUACUAUUAACUAUGAAUAUCCGUUUCUAUUCACUAUUUAACACGAAUAACAGAGGGUUUAAGAAUAAAGUUACUAUAAUAUUAUCAUUCAAAUACAAGUAAUUGUUAGAAUAUCAUAUCAAGAACGAAUCAACUAUAACUCUAAUGGGCAAAAUUUAACAAUUUCUUUCUUCAAAACACAAUAAACUAAUAACCAAAUUACUUAAUACCAGAUUAUACUAAUAAAAGCUAAUAUUUUAUUCCAGAUUUUUAACUGUUUCGCCCCAAUAUUACACACUCACACACACUCGUCCAUGACUGUCCUACAUAAAUCCUAUCCAAGGAUUACCCUCCUCCACCGCGGUCCAUGGCCAGCAUAACUGGACGACCCCAUCGAUCUCGAUAUAAAUUACGAGCACACACACACACAUACACACACUUUCUACGUACAAAGGCGUUGUGUAUAGGCCUCCUAGAGGGGAGAGGAGGGGGGAUGUGGAAGGAUCGCGGGGAGGGUCGGCUCUAAGUGCGUGUAACGAGAUCCCUGGUAAUGUGGGAUAGGACAGGGUGUUGUUACAGGCGUAAUCACCGUAACGUAUGCCACGGGGCUUGCGUCAAUGUUGAUUCCCGUGGUCACGCGUACACUCGAGGAAUCCUUGAGAGCCGGCUUCCGGAUUAAAGGGAUCCGGAUGGCCAACUUACCUGCAUCUCUCUCUCUCUCUCUCUCUCUCUCUCUCUCUCUCUCUCUCUCUCUCUCUAUCUAUCUAUCUAUCUAUCUAUCUAUCUAUCUAUCUAUCUUUUUCUCUGCAGAUGCUUUAAUGAUUGCGCGCGCACGGGACGUGGAAUUCCCUUUCGGACGGUUCGAACCCCCUUGUUUUCUAGUUUUUCCACGGGGAAAAUUUUUAUUUAUUUGGAGGAUGGAAAAGGGAAAUUUAAGGAUUUAUUUUCUUCCUUCUGACUAUACGAGGUUCUCGACUCGAUCAGUUGAGUGAUAAAAAAGAGAGGAGAGGAGUGUUAAAGUGUUUGUCGAAGAGGAGAGUAUUUGUUUAUGGAUGAUGAGAGAGAAAGAGAGAGAGAGGGGAGUUCGUAAGUUAAUCGUGUUAGUUAUUCACAUGGAAUAGAAAUGUUUCCCGUAUAAAUCAACGUGUCAAGAGUACAAGAGGUGGCUGUUUUUCAAUGCAAAUGUCUGGCGCACAUUGUGUGCAACCUCCUCCACAGCCCCGGGGUUAAUUUAGACCGGUUCCCCGGUUAUAUUCGCGCGGCAUUGUUUCCUUGAUGCGCGUAAAAUGGGCGUUAAUUGAAAUGUAAGUGCACAUUUAUUACGAUUCCAUUCUGUAACAAGGGUUCAUAAACGCGUAGGCAAGUGCAAAUUGUUACUAAUGCGCUUCGUAAUGACCUUGCCGCGAUACGAUAUUACCGUUGUCCAAUAAUGAACACCGGGACACGAUUAGAAAAUACAAAUAAUAAUGGGAUACGAUGUAGAUUUUUUUUCUCUUUUCUUUUUUUCGUUUGAGAGGAAAUUUUAUCUUUAUUUUUAUUGCGUCCAUACUUUUUUUUUUAUAUAUAAGGGAGAUGUAAUAAUUCGAAUUUUUAUUACAACGUGUAUCGGGCGAUAUUCUCCUCUGGGACAAGUAUGCAAAAUACGCAAAUUAUGCGCAAGAUAUGCUAAAUAGAAUGAUAAUAACUCAAAAUUAACAUUUUCUCGAGCAGAAGAAAAAAAAACGAGGAUUUCCUACCUCGUUGCUGUUUUAUGGAAAUAUAAUACGUUCCCAUGAAUACUUUCGAUCCAGGCAUACGUUAUCGAUAUAAAUAUACAUAUUCGUUCGAUUUUUUGAAUCGAAACGUUAUCGCAACACUCGAGAUAAAUAAAAUU